rnacentral:rRNA from 1 species
AUGCCGCCCGCGCGCGCUCCGGCGGCCAGUCCGGCCAUUGUCACCGCGGUGAGCAGCAGCAUUGCCGGAAACUGUCUGCUCGCCAUCUUUGUUCUGUUGGAAGUUGGAAACUUGGAAUGGAGCUACUAUGCUGGAGAAGGUUCUUGGUCUGCUCAACGCCGUCGCAAGUUGACCCGGCAUGCACCUCUGGAUGAAGAUAGCUCUAGGAGAAUGAGUGGCGCGGGCAUCCCGGGCUUAAUUAUCGUCGCAAUCAGGGCCGUUGGCGGUACGAGUAGUAUGAUAUUCGGGCAUGACGGUGCAGGCUGA